rnacentral:rRNA from 1 species
AUUGCCUAGUACGGCGAGUGAAGCGGCAACAGCUCAAAUUUGAAAUCUGGCGUCUUUGGCGUCCGAGUUGUAAUUUGCAGAGGGCGCUUUGGCAUUGGCAGCGGUCCAAGUUCCUUGGAACAGGACGUCACAGAGGGUGAGAAUCCCGUACGUGGUCGCUAGCCUUUACCGUGUAAAGCCCCUUCCACGAAUCGAGUUGUUUGGGAAUGCAGCUCUAAAUGGGAGGUAAAUUUCUUCUAAAGCUAAAUACUGGCCAGAGACCGAUAGCGCACAAGUAGAGUGAUCGAAAGAUGAAAAGCACUUUGGAAAGAGAGUUAAAAAGCACGUGAAAUUGUUGAAAGGGAAGCGCUUGCAGCCAGACUUGCCUGUAGUUGCUCAUCCGGGUUUCUACCCGGUGCACUCUUCUACGGGCAGGCCAGCAUCAGUUUGGGCGGUUGGAUAAAGGUCUCUGUCAUGUACCUCCCUUCGGGGAGAUCUUAUAGGGGAGACGACAUGCAACCAGCCUGGACUGAGGUCCGCGCAUCUGCUAGGAUGCUGGCGUAAUGGCUGU